UACGUAGGUGGCGAGCGUUGUCCGGAAUUACUGGGUGUAAAGGGCGUGUAGGCGGGGAUGUAAGUCAGAUGUGAAAUACCGAGGCUUAACUUCGGGGCUGCAUCUGAAACUACGUUUCUUGAGUGUCGGAGAGGAAAGCGGAAUUCCCAGUGUAGCGGUGAAAUGCGUAGAUAUUGGGAGGAACACCAGUGGCGAAGGCGGCUUUCUGGACGAUAACUGACGCUGAGGCGCGAAAGCGUGGGGAGCAAACAGG
rnacentral:rRNA from 1 species